rnacentral:rRNA from 1 species
GAUGAACGCUGGCGGCGUGCUUAACACAUGCAAGUCGAACGAGAAGUGAAGACGGAAACCUUCGGGCGGAAGGCUUUAUUUCGAGUGGCGGACGGGUGAGUAACGCGUGGGUAACCUGCCUCAUACAGGGGGAUAACAGUUGGAAACGACUGUUAAUACCGCAUAAGACCACAGCACCGCAUGGUGCGGGGGUAAAAACUCCGGUGGUAUGAGAUGGACCCGCGUUCGAUUAGCCAGUUGGCGGGGUAACGGCCCACCAAAGCAACGAUCGAUAGCCGAUCUGAGAGGAUGACCGGCCACAUUGGGACUGAGACACGGCCCAAACUCCUACGGGAGGCAGCGGUGGGGAAUAUUGCACAAUGGGGGAAACCCUGAUGCAGCGACGCCGCGUGAGUGAAGAAGUAUUUCGGUAUGUAAAGCUCUAUCAGCAGGGAAGAAAAUGACGGUACCUGAGUAAGAAGCCCCGGCUAACUACGUG